GACGAACGCUGGCGGCGUGCUUAACACAUGCAAGUCGAACGGAAAGGCCCUGCUUUUGUGGGGUGCUCGAGUGGCGAACGGGUGAGUAACACGUGAGUAACCUGCCCUUGACUUUGGGAUAACUUCAGGAAACUGGGGCUAAUACCGGAUAGGAGCUCCUGCUGCAUGGUGGGGGUUGGAAAGUUUCGGCGGUUGGGGAUGGACUCGCGGCUUAUCAGCUUGUUGGUGGGGUAGUGGCUUACCAAGGCUUUGACGGGUAGCCGGCCUCAGAGGGUGACCGGCCACAUUGGGACUGAGAUACGGCCCAGACUCCUACGGGAGGCAGCAGUGGGGAAUAUUGCACAAUGGGCGGAAGCCUGAUGCAGCAACGCCGCGUGCGGGAUGACGGCCUUCGGGUUGUAAACCGCUUUCGCCUGUGACGAAGCGUGAGUGACGGUAAUGGGUAAAGAAGCACCGGCUAACUACGUG
rnacentral:rRNA from 1 species